rnacentral:rRNA from 1 species
UACGAAGGGGGCUAGCGUUGCUCGGAAUUACUGGGCGUAAAGGGAGCGUAGGCGGACAUUUAAGUCAGGGGUGAAAUCCUGGAGCUCAACUCCAGAACUGCCUUUGAUACUGGCAAUCUAGAGUCCGGAAGAGGUAAGUGGAACUCCUAGUGUAGAGGUGGAAUUCGUAGAUAUUCGGAAGAACACCAGUGGCGAAGGCGACAUACUGGCUCAUUACUGACGCUGAGGCUCGAAAGCGUGGGGAGCAAACAGG